ACAUCGCUCUUUGAAUAUUUUAAUAUAAAGAGUCGAGCCUGCCCAGUGAUGGAAUUUUAACGGCCGCGGUACCCUGACCGUGCAAAGGUAGCAUAAUCAUUUGCCCUAUAAUUGAGGGCUAGUAUGAAUGGUUUGACAAGAGCAAUACUGUCUCCUUUAGAUUUUAUAGAAUUUGGUUUUCAGGUGAAGAGACCUGAAUAUAAUUGAAAGACAAGAAGACCCUAUCGAGCUUUAAGUUAUUUUAUUAAUUAAAUGAAUUAAAUAUCAGUUUUAAUAAAAAAUUUUGGUUGGGGCGACUGAGGAACAAAUAAAGCUUCCUUUUUUAAAAUAACUUAUUAGUUUUGAUCCAAAAUAUUUGAUUAGAAGAAUUAGUUACCGUAGGGAUAACAGCAUAAUCUUUUUUGAGAGCUCUUAUCGAAAAAAAGGUUUGUGACCUCGAUGUUGGACUAGGAUAUCCUAAUAGAUGCAGACGUCUUUGAUGGUUGGUCUGUUCGACCAUUAAAAUCCUAC
rnacentral:rRNA from 1 species